GUCAACUAACAAUAAAAAACCUAGACUGAUGCAGUAGCAAGUAACAGUGUCUAAAGGGGUAAUACAUACUGUAAGCUCAGAACUCAAAUUGUGGUGCGUCUGGUCGAUCUUGUAACGGAAACAUGAUUCCCGCCUUCAAAGGACUCCGCUUCAAUGAAACUUUGGGUUUGGAAGGGCGUCAUGGACCUGGAUCUAGACCUCAACUCCAUUAUUUUCAGACUGAAAAGGGGAGAAAUCAACUGCAUGUCUCCUACUGCACGGGCUAUAAAUACCCCAUACUGUUCUAUUUUGGGGACUGAAAGCCCUUUUUUUACUUACUUUAUAGACGGAAUAGUUAACACAGCAUCUACACACCCUGCUUCGUUUGUAUAACCUUCACAAAACUUUAAAUAUUUUUUUAACGAUCAAACAUUACAAACUCCAACGGUUUUAACUUAUAAACAGACAUAAAAUGUGUACAUACACUUAAAAUGCAUUAUGUAUAACAUGACGUCAUUUUUAUAAAUGUGUCACAAUAAAUAUCUCCAUUUAAAA